AGCCAUUACGCUUUCUCCGAUGGUAAGAGAUACAGACCCUCUUAUCUCCCCAUUAUAUACAAUCUCUGGUAGCACUAUUGAAAUAACUGAAAUCAUUCGGUGAAGUGAUAUGGAACUGCAAUGCGGUCAAGAAGACCUUCCCAGAACUACUUGAACCUGCGUUUCCCUGAAAAUAAUUGCAUACGUUAGAACGUUGGUCAACCAAUCAGAUUCGAGCAUUCAACAGCCCUGUAGCUUAACACAACAUAAAGUGUCUUCAUUGAUGUAUUUGAGCAUAAUCUUUUUUUAAUCUUGUGUUAUCAUUAUUAUUUAUAUAUAUUCUAAUUAUUUUUCUUUAUUUACUAAUAUUAAAUUUUUCACAUUCUUUUCGUAUUGCGGAGGCAAAAUAUUGAUAUUGGGGAAAGUUUUGGCCUUAGUUGAGCGCUGAUGGAUUGCAUUACGUUUUGCACUCUGGUUUGGGUUAUAGGAAAAUAAUGUACAACUUAACUCAGCCUAAUUUGAUUCUGCUUUCAGCUACCAAUAGCAAGUAGCAUUUUCAGCCCUAUUUAACACAUUAUCAUGUUGAAGCAGAGCCUAAUUCGGCAGAGCCUAGAAGCUUUUCUACUUGCUUUUGUCACAGAGCCUUUUGUCUGGAUUAAAAAGAAUGACUUGCUGGAGAAAACAUAACAGUCUGAUAUGUGAUUAUAAGAAUCCUGUUAUGGAUUUAGACUUGUCUAUCACCAUUGUGUUCAUGCAAACCUUCACAGCUUGCUGGGUAAGUGUGUUAAAGAGUUUCACUGGGACACAUUUGUGGAACAAACCGUGGAGCAGGGCCUCUGAUUUCCUUUAUUUGUGGUGGAGCCCUGGAGGGAGAGCUGUCACUCAAAAUAUGCCGGUCUGCAGAGAUGUGGGUAUCACCACAGGAAGCUGGUGCUGAUUAUGAGAAAUGGAGACUGAUCUCAUGUUUGGCCUGAGCAGACAUGUACUUAAAGAAGAGGGCAGAACAACAGGCCACUAAGACAUGAAUGGAAUAUUAAAGCUUCAUUGCUUGUGUCUACCCCUGGAACUAUAUGUUUAGGCUUGAUGCUAUCAAUCACCUGACGUAAGUUUAAAUGUAUGAUCUGUUGUACCAAUAACCUCUGACAGGAGGAUCAAAAACAUAUUGAAAAUAAUUUCUCUCUCAGCCGUUUUCCACUCUCUGAACGUGCCUAUAUCGCAGCUAGUCAUUUGGGUGCGUCAGGCUGCAAGAGCCGUGACUCACCAUCUCCAGUGCCUCUCCACAGGAAUGUUCCUCUACCUCUGUGUGAGGCUGAAUUCACAUCUGGAUAUGGAGAUGGAGCUUAAUUCCCUGAAUCUCAGCACUGGAACCUUUUCUGUGUGAGACAUCAGCUGCUAAAGCCUGUCACACAUGGAAGCCUCCUAAGUGCCUGACCCAGUAUGUUUUUGCAGACUGGGGCCAGAAGAACAAACCGAAGAGCUUAUGAAAAUGCCAGCCAAAUAGAACAGGCUGUCCAAAAUUCUCCACAGAGGAACCGGUGGAUCUCGAAGACAAGGGACCUUGAGAGUCUUCUGCCUGGUUCAUGUGUGAGCUCCACUACCAAUAUGAAAAAGUAGCAUCUGGGUUUGGUUAGUUCCAAUUAACCCAAUUCAAACAGUCCCCACAGAGAGGAGGGAACAAUUCCUGGGGAAAUGCUCUUUUGAACUUGUGUUAUUGUUUUGUGAAGGAUCCCCAUCACACACUCUGAGGGAGGUUAGGGACGUAUUUCAUGUCCGACAAGAGGAAUAAAGCCUCAGCACGGCCAUAAUGCUGAAGAAACUCUAAACAGCGUCUUGUUCCAUGGGUUUAUUCUUUGAUCUGGGGCUGGGCGGAUGGAAGAAAAGUUGAAUAUUGUGUAAUUCAUGUGGAAAACCUAUGUUUUAUUUCAUCAGAAUUAAAUCAGUCAUCUGAAUUAAGUUCAAGUGUGUCUGGAGAGAUCAAAUGUUUGGCUGAAGGUCAUCAGGUUCAAAUUCCUCCAUGAGGUUUUUGACAAAUGAAACCCCGGGAUAACGAAAUGACUAGUGACCCCGUUUACCAUCAGAAAUCUGAUCUUAUCAUCAUGAAAAAAUGUCUGGCUACAUUACUGGCAUAGAAAAACACAUCUGACUUCAUCAAAGGUUGUCAGAUGUGUUGAUCUGAAGUGAGUUCAUACACUCUAAAAAUGCUGGGUUUGUUUCGAUCCAUGUUUGGGUCAAAUAUGGACAAAAACAACCAUUGGUUUAAAUUUUUAAAGUAACUUUUUUAAACCCAACAUUUGGGUUUGUCCAUAUUUAACCCAAACAUGGGUUGAAACAACCCAGCAUUUUUUAGUGUGCAUAAAAUGUGUAUUGUAUGACCAAGCAGGGAGAUAUUUUUAAACAAAAUCAAUAAAUACAGUUACCCAUUACUGAAGUCUCAAAUUAGAGACAAAAUCUGAGUACGCAGCCAAGGGCAAGUGUUUUAAACCAGCUGAACCUUGAACCAGUGAACCACUUUUGCAAAACUAUUUCAGGAGCCCAAGGGCAAGGCCAGGAAUGCAUGCACAGUAAGGAGGUAAUAUAAGCAAAACAAGGAAUGAUACAAUGCAGCAGUUCGCCUGUCAGUCUCAUUUUUGUUCUGAGUACCUUUGAAAAAUGAAACAAAUGCCCCUCCCACUGUUCAUCCAUUUCCUCUGCUGUCUCAGUGGUCAUGCAAUGGUGUCCAAAAGUCUGAGACCACAUAAAAGUGUUACAAAAUCCUAUUUAAACGAUGAAACAAACAUUUAAAAACUGUAAAUAUGAACAUUUAAAAACAAAGAAACAUGACAAAAUGAAUGAGAAAUAUGGAUUCUUGGAUAAUUAUAAGCAAAUUUGUAACACUGAUCAUGUGAAAUUUCUUUGUACAAAACAUUGUCAAAGCAAAUAGGAGACCAAGCCAAAUACUAAGAAAGUCUAAAAUUCAUGAUAUUUUUUAUUUUUUUUUUUUAAUUUUCACUCAAAUUAUGAUGGAAAGAUAAUACCAUUUUUAACAUUUCACUAGUCUAUGUCUUUUGGAUCCCACUGUACUUAAAUUUAAGUACAGUAAGCCGAACAGUACACUGUAAGUGAAAAUACAGUAAUAAUACUGCAAACCAUUUUACAGUAAAUUACUGGCAUCCAGCUGCCGUAAAAUUUACAGCAAUCUCUUUACAGUGUACUCUCCCUUUCGAGUGCCAUGGGCAAAGCUUGCUGGGAGAUAAAAGAAAAUCCCAGCCCAACUUCAGUUAAACUUAAGUUUGUCUAAAUGAAAAGAAAUGAGUUCAGACAACUCAAAACAAUGAAACAAUUCAGAAACAAUUUUACUUGAAAUAUGUCAGUGCUGUGAAGUCA